GUGUCAGCAGCCGCGGUAAUACGUAGGGGGCGAGCGUUGUUCGGAUUUACUGGGCGUAAAGGGCGCGUAGGCGGCGCAACAAGUCACUUGUGAAAUCUCCGGGCUUAACUCGGAACGGUCAAGUGAUACUGUUGGGCUAGAGUGCGGAAGGGGCAACUGGAAUUCUCGGUGUAGCGGUGAAAUGCGUAGAUAUCGAGAGGAACACCUGCGGCGAAGGCGGGUUGCUGGGCCGACACUGACGCUGAGGCGCGAAAGCUAGGGGAGCGAACGGGAUUAGAAACCCGGGUAGUCC
rnacentral:rRNA from 1 species